rnacentral:sRNA from 1 species
ACUACAAAUUAAUCAUUUCCUAUACAAAUAAAAAUUGAUGUCACAAGCAGAAAGAGCUUUUCAAGAUGUGCCAGCGAGUUUUAUGGACUUAUAUAUAUCCUUCAAGACUAAUAGAAAAUGUUAUAUACCAAGUUGGUUGUUUUGUUCAAGUUUCACAUUGUUUCAAAGGAAACAGUUCUCUUACUAUCCAAGUAUUAAAUGUGAAAAUACUUUCUCUAUCAAUUUUAUGAGCUUUCCAACCAUCUUGACACACGGUGAUCUGAAGAAUAAGCACCAAAAUUACCAAAGGUAUAUUGGAAGAUGCGAAAAGGUACCAUACAUUACAGGCCAUUGUCUGCAUUAUUGUGAGAUUUUUAAAAUAGAGAAAUAAAACAUCAGAGGAAAUGUCUUUACAGGAGCUCAAACCUUUCUCAUGAGGUCUGUACCUGGGAGACUAACUCAGCCUCAAGCAUUUAAACUCCACUCCCAACUGAAGUGGAAAAAUUCAUCUCUGCUUAAAGAGAAACAAAAACAACAACAAAAGAAC